ensembl:lncRNA
CUCACCUACCAGUGUGUCAAGCUCAUUUAAAUUGGAUGAGGAUUGGGUUUGGAUUCUUUGAGAUUUCUGCAUUUGAAAGAGGCCAUAAAAGAAAAAAAGAUACAGAUGCUUUUCAAGUAUAUGGACGUCAAAUGGAUCUGAAGACACUAAAGAUGGCAUAUCAUUGGAUGGAUACCACUGGCUUUCAACAUAGAAAUCUAAAUAUAGAAAGGAUUAAACAAUCACUUAUAAUUUCACUAAAAUAAGUGCCAAGAUUCCUAUAGUUUCUAAUGGGGGCAGGAGCUGACCUCCUCCUUAGCUGUCCUCAGUUAAACAAUACAGAAACAUAAUGACUUCAGUGAGAGACCUGGGUAAUGAGCAUAUAUCCCCAUCAUCAGCUCUGUGUUGCCCCAUUCUUCUCCCCUGCCUUUCCCUGGCCUUCAUUACUUGCUGAAGGAGGGGAAAGCUAGUGAGUGGGGCCAGGCAGAUAAGAAGAUAAGAAAGGCAGGAAGAAGAGUGGGAAGAAUCUGGUCACUUUGUGCCCACCCAGCUCUCCUUCCAGGCAUUAGGGCCAGUGAGUUCAUCCACAUUGGUCCAAGCAUUUCUCAAGACUCUCAGAACAGAAUGUCUUGUCCAUCAUCUGUACCUGAACCUCUGGGGACCCCUCUGUGUCACCACCAAUUUUUGGCCAUGCUGCAGAACAGCUUCAGCCUGCUCCUGCAUCUCUUUCUUUGUUAGCUAAACAGCAUGUGCAGAAAUGGACUGGCAUCCAGAGGAGGUACUCCAAAGAGCCCCAGGAUACAUGCUGGGAGUCAUGGCCAAGCCUGGACAAAGCCUGUGCCAUUGCAUUUGCAUUGUUAUCAUUGUUUGUGCUACCUAUAUUCAGCCAGUGAAUCUUGCUAUCAUAUGCUACAGUUGUGCACAGAUACUCUCCAUCUUGGGAACAAUCUCUGGAUGUUUGCGAUGUGCACAUCACUACAGUGUCUGGGCACAAAUACAUUUGUGCAGAAUGUGAAGAACUGCUGAUGUAAGAGUGAGAAGUAUUUUGAUUUUUUCCUUGUUCUGUUAUAUAUUAUCUCAGAAGAGAACAGUGUAGAUAAAAGGAAUUCUACUGCAGUAAACUUUCAUGAAGAAAAGAAGAAUAUAAUCGUAGAAUCAGAGAUUCACAGAAUUGCUCAGGUUAGAAAAGACCUUAAAGAUCAUUGAGUCCAACCACAACCUAACCAUACUACCCUAAGUCUAACAACCCUCCGCUAAAUCAUGUCCCUGAGCACCACAUCCAAAUGGUUAUUAAACACGUCCAGGGAUAGUGACUCAACCACCUCCCUGGGGAGCCUAUUCCAGUGCUUAACUACCCUUUCUAUAAAGAAGUUUUUCCUGAUAUCCAACCUAAACUUACCCUGGCACAACUUGAGGCCAUUUCCCCUUGUCCUGUCACCUGUCACCAGUGAGAAGAGACCAACCCCGCUCUCACUGUAAGCACCUUUCAGAUAUUGGAAGAAAGCAAUAAGGUCUCCCCUCAGCCUCCUUUUCCCCAGACUAAACAUCCCCAGUUCCUUCAGUCUCUCCUCGUAGGGCAUGUACUCCAAGCCCUUCACAAGCCUUGUUGCCCUUCUUUGGAUCUGCUCCAGCACCUCGAUAUCUUUUCUGUACUCAGGUACACAAAACUGAACACAGUUGUAAGAGACUAUUCUUUUAUAUCAUUGACUCAAAGUUUGCUGAGGAACAAGUCCAGGCAAGUCCUGGGCAAAGGCAGAGAAAUCUUUUGUCUUGAGGACACUGAUGGACAGGUCCUGGCUAAGGAUUGUGAAAUCCUUUAAGGAGCACAGAUGGACAAGGCCAGGGGCAUCGAGAGAGAGAUAAGCUGCCGCUAAUGGCCGGGAAACGGUCUUUUUGUGUGGACUUAUCUCAAGGAAAAUGGCCAUCUCAGGAGGUAUGCACAGGACUCUUGCUCAAGCCCCCAG